rnacentral:lncRNA from 1 species
UGCCACAAUGUGGGUCCGUCCCUGCUUGUGCUUGAAAAUGAGUUGUUUGGGGAGAUAUUAUUAUUUGGGUGGGUAUGUAUUGUGCUCUCCCAAAUAAUGUUAUCUCUCUUGCUCGUCAAUUUUGUGGAACUCAAAUGUUUCGUAAAAAAAUCAGGUUGUGUCUUGAAGCAAUUUGGUUAGUUACACUUUGGUCUGUUUGGAAAGAAUAAGAGAGUGUUUGAUCAUAAGGUCUCCUCUCGUAACAAGUUAAUUUUCAACAUUAAGGUUCAAGUUUGGUGGUGGUUGAGGCGGGAAAAAUUUGUUUGACUUACAUCAUUGAAUGACGAAUCCCUUUGCUUGUUUAAGUUUUACAUAUCUUUGAUAUUUAUUCCUUUUGUUGUUUUGCUUGUAAUAACUCUUUCUUAUUUUUAGGCACACCAUGCUUGAAGUUUAUUAUAUAUAUAUUGGUUUGGUUUCUUAAAAAAAAAUCAUAAGUUUAGCCAUUGUAAAAUUUUUAUGAAGAAAAAAUGAAGUUCAUCUAUUCAAUAAGAAUAUUUUGGAUUAUUGAAAUUUAAUGUUUAUAAUGAAAUGUUAAGUGAAUUAAUUUUAUGCAGGAUUACUUUUUGAGUGAAUUUAUCCGAUAUUUAUUGAUCUUACUUGUUUAGAGAAGUGUGACCGUUGUAUUGAAGAUAUUUUGAAUUGGUUAAAAGUGCUUACCACCAUUGUAUUGAGAAUAUUCUUGAUCUAUCCCACCUUAAAGUUCAAGGCAAUUGGAAUCUGAUUUGGCAAAUUAAAGCACCUCCAAAAGUAAAGAAUUUUAUUUGGAGAUUGUGCCGAAAUUGCAUCCCAACCAGAACCCGUCUUCAUCAAAAAGGUGUUAAUUGCCCAAGUGAGUGUGUUAUGUGCGACACACAGCAUACAUGUCUUUAUAUCUUGCGAAACUGUCUGGCAAAUUUGGCAAAGGUUGGGCCUUGGGAACAUCCUUCAGCAAAACUUGACAGAUAAUAACAACAUGGCAGAGCUGGUGUUUUCUAUUUUGCAGGUACUGACAGCAAAACAAAGUUCCCUAUUCUCAACAGUGCUCUAGAGCUUGUGGCAAUCUUGUAAUAACAAAUUAUGGCGAAGUCAAGCAGAGACGAGACAAGUAGUCUUUGAUAGAGCCUAUACGGUCCUUACGAAUUGGCAAAUGGCUCAAACAUAAUAGAAGAAAAACAUCAACAAACAACAACAACCAGCAGCGGCAACAUGGACUAAACGGAGUUUGGGAUGCUAUAAAUGCAAUAUUGACGCAUCUUUCUCCCAGGUCUCAAUAAAGUCGGAAUAGGCACGUGCAUCAGAUAUGAUCAAGGCAGGUCCUCGCUAAAACGGAGUGGUUUUCACCUAUUUGUGAUGUGGAAAUGGGUGAAGCAAGGGCUUCUGCACGCUUUUAAAUGGGUUAGGGUCGACCUACAGCUGGAAGAUGUUGAUUUCGAACUUGACGCACAAAUUGUUGUUACAAAGUUUCAUAGUAAAAAGGAUGAUGUAUCCGAAUUAGGAGGAGUCAUCAAAGAUUGUCAACAGUUGCAUAACACCUUUUUCAAAAACUGAAAGGUUGAGUUUAUUAGGAGACAUGCCAAUGUGGUCGCUCAUGUAUUAGCAUGGGUAGCCCCAUCUCUAGCUAGUUUCCACACUUUUACUGAUACACCUAAUUGUAUUCACAACAUUAUUAUUAAUGAAAUGCUUUAAGCGUCUUUCCGUAAAAAAAA